rnacentral:tmRNA from 1 species
GGCAACAAUUAAUAGACUGGAUGGAGGCGGAUAAAGUUGCAGGACCACUUCUGCGCUCGGCCCUUCCGGCUGGCUGGUUUAUUGCUGAUAAAUCUGGAGCCGGUGAGCGUGGGUCUCGCGGUAUCAUUGCAGCACUGGGGCCAGAUGGUAAGCCCUCCCGUAUCGUAGUUAUCUACACGACGGGGAGUCAGGCAACUAUGGAUGAACGAAAUAGACAGAUCGCUGAGAUAGGUGCCUCACUGAUUAAGCAUUGGUAACCGGUUAGUAAUGAGUUUAAACGGGGGAGGCUAACUGAAACACGGAAGGAGACAAUACCGGAAGGAACCCGCGCUAUGACGGCAAUAAAAAGACAGAAUAAAACGCACGGGUGUUGGGUCGUUUGUUCAUAAACGCGGGGUUCGGUCCCAGGGCUGGCACUCUGUCGAUACCCCACCGAGACCCCAUUGGGGCCAAUACGCCCGCGUUUCUUCCUUUUCCCCACCCCACCCCCCAAGUUCGGGUGAAGGCCCAGGGCUCGCAGCCAACGUCGGGGCGGCAGGCCCUGCCAUAGCAGAUCCACUAGUAACGGCCGCCAGUGUGCUGGAAUUCAGGGACAUAAAUCACAUUCCCAGAAUAUAUCCUGGGCAACACCUUCGCCAGGGCAUGCAACAAGAAUGUAAAGCCAGUGGUCUGGAAUUUUCUCUGUGCCAAAAAUAUGUCUUCUAAUGGAAAAUGGUUCAUUAAAUUGUUUUCAAUAAAAAAGUGUGUCAUGCAAUCGUUCAAUAAUUCAUGAUCCUCCGUCCAACUGCCGGGACAUAGUACCUCCUCACACACAUAUCUGCCAACAUCAAAAAAUCCAACAAUUCUUCCACUGUUGAUGACAUCUACAAACAACGAGGUGAAAAGUUUGGACAGGUCUCUUUUCCAGUUCUUGAGGGCAGGGCCAUAAUCCGCGCGGUAAACGCUGUCAUAGUGCCUUCUAAACUCCUGGGUCAAUGUUAUUAUUUUAGAGACAUCAACUAACACAGCAGAAUCAACACAAUCCAGUUCUUCCACUUUAGAAACAGUCUUCAAGAAGGCUGUAAUCAGGGUUGCCCAAUAAGUCCCGCUUUUCUUAUGACUCAUGUUUGAUGAUGUAGAGAAUCUGUGGAAUCUGACUAACUCUUCCAACUAGAUGUUUAGAUAUGUGCCACUUAAAAUAGCUGCGCACGCACAACACACCACUUUUUAGUACCUGAAACUAAUUACAUCAUCUGGAAUAAAGUCUUUUGUAUUCCACCCGAACCCAAGCUCCCCGGCACCCCACAACAUUCCACCUUCAACAAACAGCCUACAAUCUACAGGCUACACCUGCGACCUCCAUGGCCAGUCAAGAAUUCCAAGGAUUUCUUGACAGCUCCCUGUUAAAUGAAGAAGACUGCAGACAGAUGAUCUAUCGCAGCGAAAGAGAACACGAUGCGCGCAUGGUGGGCGUCAACGUGGACCAGCACUUUACUUCCCAAUACAGGAAAGUCCUAACCACGUGGAUGUUUUGUGUGUGCAAAGACCUCCGUCAGGAUAACAACGUCUUUCCCCUGGCGGUCGCCUUACUGGAUGAACUAUUCCUUAGCACACGGAUAGAUCGGGAAAAUUACCAGUCCACCGCAGCAGUGGCCCUCCAUAUCGCAGGAAAGGUCAGGGCCUACAUGCCCAUCAAGGCCACCCAGUUGGCAUACCUUUGUGGAGGAGCAACAACAGCUGACAAACUAUUGACUCUGGAAGUCAAAAGUCUGGAUACCCUCUCGUGGGUAGCUGACAGGUGCCUGAGUACAGAUCUCAUCUGUUACAUCCUGCAUAUCAUGCAUGCCCCCCGGGAAGACUACCUGAACAUUUAUAACCUCUGUCACCCAAAAAUCUUCUGCGCCCUAUGCGAUGGCAGGUCAGCCAUGAAACGCCCAGUGCUAAUCACACUGGCCUGUAUGCACUUAACUAUGAACCAAAAGUAUGAUUACUAUGAAAACAGGAUAGAUGGUGUGUGCAAAAGCCUCUAUAUAACCAAGGAAGAGCUACACCAGUGUUGUGAUUUAGUAGAUAUUGCCAUUGUCUCUUUCGAUGAAAACUAUUUCAAAAUAAAUGCCUAGAUUUGCCCUUUC